rnacentral:rRNA from 1 species
GUAGUCCACGCCCUAAACUAUGUCAACUGGUUGUCGGGGAAGCAAUUCCUUGGUAACGAAGCUAACGCGUGAAGUUGACCGCCUGGGGAGUACGGCCGCAAGGUUAAAACUCAAAGGAAUUGACGGGGACCCGCACAAGCGGUGGAUUAUGUGGAUUAAUUCGAUGCAACGCGAAAAACCUUACCUACCCUUGACAUGCCAGGAACCCUCCAGAGAUGGAGGGGUGCCCGAAAGGGAACCUGGACACAGGUGCUGCAUGGCUGUCGUCAGCUCGUGUCGUGAGAUGUUGGGUUAAGUCCCGCAACGAGCGCAACCCUUGCCAUUAGUUGCCACAUUCAGUUGGGCACUCUAAUGGGACUGCCGGUGACAAACCGGAGGAAGGUGGGGAUGACGUCAAGUCCUCAUGGCCCUUAUGGGUAGGGCUUCACACGUAAUACAAUGGCCGGUACAGAGGGCAGCCAACCCGCGAGGGGGAGCUAAUCCCAGAAAGCCGGUCGUAGUCCGGAUUGCAGUCUGCAACUCGACUGCAUGAAGCCGGAAUCGCUAGUAAUCGCGGAUCAGCAUGUCGCGGUGAAUA